rnacentral:rRNA from 1 species
GAUGAACGCUGGCGGCGUGCCUAAUACAUGCAAGUCGAGCGAACAGACGAGGAGCUUGCUCCUCUGACGUUAGCGGCGGACGUGUGAGUAACACGUGGAUAACCUACCUAUAAUACUGUGAUAACUUCGGGAAACCGUAGCUAAUACCGUAUAAUAUAUUGAACCGCAUGGUUCAAUAGUUAAAGACGGUUUUGCUGUCACUUAUAGAUUGAUCCGCGCCUCAUUAGCUAGUUGGUAAGGUAACGGCUUACCAAGUGGACGAUGGGUAGCCGACCUGAGAGGGUGACCGGCCACACUGGAACUGAGACACGGUCCAGACUCCUACGGGAGGCAGCAGUAGGGAAUCUUGGGCAAUGGGCGAAAGCCUGACGGAGCAAAGCCGCGUGAGGGAAGAAGGUCUUCGGAUCGUAAAACUCUGUUGUUAGGGAAGAAAAAAUGUGGAAGUAAAUAUGCAGGUAAUGACGGUACCGAAUGAGAAAGCAACGGCUAACUACGUG